AAUCCUAACGGAUGAGGACAGGUUCUUGUUUCGUAAGAUUGGUCUCAAUAUGAAACCCUUCCUACUUUUAGGGAGGCGAGAGGUUUACUCUGGUACCAUAGAGAGUUGGUGAAGAUAAUAGUGAGAGGAAAAAGUUUUCAGCAAGUCAAGCAUAUAGCAAUCUCCUUGGAAGCGGAGAGUGCCAGAGUGGUGGGCUGCUAGUAUCUCUAGAUAAAACUACCAAAGGAGGAUGCUAUCAUUGCUAUGGUUCAGGACGUCGUGGAGGGGAAGUAGCUCAGUUCUUGGUGGGUCUUGCUGAACGUCCAGUUGCUGAACCGAAAACCCGAAAAACGGGCCGGUUUUGUCCCGGUCCGGGUUUAUCUCGGUCCCUGUUAUCUGCAACUACGGUCCCGGCCCGAAGCUUGACUGUCGGUCCCGGUCCCGGUCCCGGUCCCGGUCCCUAUAAAACUAGUGUCGGUCCGGGUUUAGCCCGGUCCCAGUGUUCCUCAAUUGCAAGACCGGCCCGAAUUGACAUUGCCGGUCCCGGUCCCGGUCCCUGUAAAACCGGUGCCGGUCUGGGACCGUGCCCAACCCUACUGUUAGGGCAUCUCCAACCCUUUAGUCAAAAGCCAAAGUCAUUUGAAAAUUUUGACACCCCUAGAGUCAUUACUAUUCAUUCAUAUUUUGCAUCUCCAACCCCCUUUAGUCAAAAGUCAUAGCAUUUCAUAAUUUUAAUUAUUUUAGAUAAUUAUUUAACUACAACAUGAAUUUAUAUAUCAUACAUAAUAAUUUUAUAUGAUAUAUCGUCGUUUAAAAUUUUUUUAGAAAUUUUUAUUUUAUUUUUUCAAUUUUUUUUCGUUUAAAACUACAUUACUUUAUUAUUAGCCAUUGAAUAUAAUUCAUCACAUUUUUCUGAUAGUCAGAUUAGAACUUAAGUAAUUAUAUAUUUAAUUUUUUUAUUUUUGGUAACAAUUAAUCUUUGCCUUCCAUUUUGAAUCGAGUUAAUGAGUGAAUCAGAGCCGUUCAUUUUGGAUAGUGGAAGGUGGGGCCCAGCCUUCUUCCCCUAAGCCAUUUUGUUUUUCUACCUUCAUUCCUUGGUCAUUUUGACUCAAGGUAUGGCUCAAAAGUCAUUUUAACACCCUUUUGAUUUGGGUUGGAGAUGGUGAAACAAAAGCCCCUUAGUCAUUUUGGCUUUUGACUCAAUUGUUGGAGAUGCCCUUAGAGUGAAUAGAUUCGGUCAAAGUUCUUCACCUAUAAUAACAUAGAUAUAGUCUUCUUUGCAAUCUCACGGUUUUCAAAUGACAUAGAUAGGUGCAAGAAAUGCCACAUUGGUUUAAAACCUUAAUUAAGACUAAAAAUGGGGAUUUAUUGUUGGUAAUAAUCUAUAAUAAUGAAAGAUAUAAUUGAAAAUGGCUUUA